rnacentral:rRNA from 1 species
CUCCAGACUCCUACGGGAGGCAGCAGUGGGGGAUAUUGCACAAUGGGGGAAACCCUGAUGCAGCGACGCCGCGUGGGUGAAGAAGCGCCUCGGCGCGUAAAGCCCUGUCAGCAGGGAAGAAAAUGACGGUACCUGAAGAAGAAGCCCCGGCUAACUACGUGCCAGCAGCCGCGGUAAUACGUAGGGGGCAAGCGUUAUCCGGAUUUACUGGGUGUAAAGGGCGUGUAGGCGGGAAAGCAAGUCAGAUGUGAAAACCAUGGGCUCAACCUGUGGCCUGCAUUUGAAACUGUAUUUCUUGAGUGCUGGAGAGGCAAUCGGAAUUCCGCGUGUAGCGGUGAAAUGCGUAGAUAUUAGGAGGAACACCAGUGGCGAAGGCGACUUUCUGGACUGUACCUGACGCUGAGGCGCGAAAGCGUGGGUAGCGAACGGGAUUAGAUACCCCCGUAAA